rnacentral:rRNA from 1 species
GAUGAACGCUGGCGGCGUGCCUAAUACAUGCAAGUCGAGCGAACAGACGAGGAGCUUGCUCCUCUGAUGUUAGCGGCGGACGGGUGAGUAACACGUGGAUAACCUACCUAUAAGACUGGGAUAACUUCGGGAAACCGGAGCUAAUACCGGAUAACAUGUUGAACCGCAUGGUUCAACAGUGAAAGACGGUUUUGCUGUCACUUAUAGAUGGAUCCGCGCCGCAUUAGCUAGUUGGUACGGUAACGGCUUACCAAGGCAACGAUGCGUAGCCGACCUGAGAGGGUGAUCGGCCACACUGGAACUGAGACACGGUCCAGACGCCUACGGGAGGCAGCAGUAGGGAAUCUUCCGCAAUGGGCGAAAGCCUGACGGAGCAACGCCGCGUGAGUGAAGAAGGUCUUCGGAUCGUAAAACUCUGUUAUUAGGGAAGAACAAAUGUGUAAGUAACUAUGGACGUCUUGACGGUACCUAAUCAGAAAGCCACGGCUAACUACGUG